rnacentral:rRNA from 1 species
AUGGCGGAGGCUAUACUCCAUGCUUUGUCAAAGAUUGGGUCAGUCGGUUUGAAUAAUGAAGUAUCAGCUGUCAGAAAGAAGUUGUCGAAGAAAGUUGCUAGCCUAUAUGAAUUGCCAGUCAAGAUCGAAGAAUUUGGGGUACAGCUAAAGGCGAUGAAUAAUGUAAUGCGUGAUUUUGGCACAACACAUCUCACCAAUAAUGUCAUCAAGGGUUGGAUUGCAGACGUCCGGAAGCUGGCCUACCAUGUUGAGGAUGUAAUUGACAGGUACUCGUAUGAGGCUCUCAAGCUCAAGGAAGAUGGCUUCCUACGCUGGUACGACAUCAGAAGUUCACGCCACAUAACGGUUUUCAGUAUAAUUCUUGAAGAUGUCAUACAGAUAGAGGAGGAGAUCAGAUGCGUCAUAGAAACGCGAAAAUUAAUUCUUGAAGAUGUCAUACAGAUAGAGGAGGAGAUCAGAUGCGUCAUAGAAAUGCGAAAUUACGGGAGUAUAACAGUCCAGUCCAGUGAAAAUGAGGAUGCAGACAUUGGUAGGAAGAAGCCUGAAGGUUCCUUUCCAGAGCUUGUUAGUGAUGAGGAUCUUGUGGGAAUUGAUGAAAACAGGAGUAAGUUGACUGAAUGGCUGACCACCAAUGAGGAAGAAACCACGCUGAUAACAGUUUCUGGAAUGGGAGGCUUGGGAAAAACUUCCCUUGUGAAAACUGUGUAUGAUCGGGAGAAAGACAAUUUUCCUGAUGCUCAUGCUUGGAUUGUGGUGUCAGAAAUAUAUAAUGUAGUUGAUUUGCUAGCGAAACUGCUCACCAAGAUACAACGGCAGUCACCGCCGAGUGUUGACGUGGCCUUGGGCCAUCACGCUGAUGUCUAUGAGUUAACAGAGGCAAUACAGAAGACAUUGCAAGACAGGAAAUGCUUGAUCGUGCUUGAUGAUGUGUGGGAAAGAGAAGCAUAUACUCGGAUGUGCAAUGCAUUUCAGGGUCUCCAAGGAAGCCGUGUUAUGAUCACAACACGGAGGGAAGAUGUUGCUGCUCUAGCUCCUCGGGGACGUCGCCUGCUACUCCAGCCCUUGGGUAGCGUCGAGUCAUUCAAACUCUUUUGUUCAAUAGCUUUCCACAACAACAGCCCUGCCUGCAAGUGCCCUCCGGAGCUUGAGAAGGUGGCAGCUGCUGUAGUCCGGGGAUGUCAUGGCCUGCCAUUGGCCAUUGUAUAUUCUGGCCGCGUAUUGUCCGCGAAGGAACAAACAGAGCACACCUGGAAUCAGAUAUACAACCAUCUCUGGAGCGAGCUGCAGGGAAAUGACCAUGUCCAAGCCAUACUUAACCGGAGCUACAAUGACUUGCCGGGUUAUCUCAGGAACUGUUUCCUUUACUGCACCUUGCUCCCUCAAGGCCAACCAAUGCCACGGGAGAGCCUUGUGCGGCUAUGGAUCGCUGAAGGAUUCACGAGAAAGAGAGAAGAUUGUACUGCAGAGGAAGUGGCGGAGGAGUGUCUCAUGGAACUCAUCGACCGGAAUAUGCUGCAAGUUGUGGAGCGGGAUGAGCACUUUAGGGUUAGUACCUGUAAGAUGCAUGACAUUGUGCGAGACCUGGCUCUCGCUGUUGCGAAAGAGCAGAGGUUUGGCUCCGCAAAUGACCAGGGCGAAUUGAUGCUCCUGGACACAGAUCAAGUUCGUUGGUUCUCGACAUGCGGUUGGAGUGACAGCAAUAACACAGCUCCAGGAGGAGUCAAAUUUACACGACUCCGCACGUUGGUGUCGAUUGGGUCUUGUAGCAACAUGCUUUCCUCAGUUUUCUCUGAAUCCAUCUAUCUUACUGUUCUCGAGCUUGAAGACUCUCCAAUCAACCAAGUACCAGCAUCCAUCGGGAAUCUGUUCCAUCUCCGCUACAUUGGCUUAAGGCGCACCCAGGUUAGGUCUCUUCCAGACACUAUUGAUAAACUCUCAAACCUAGAGACACUGGACCUCAAGCACACAAGAAUAGAAAAGCUACCGUCAGGAAUUGUCAAGGCCGAGAAGCUACGUCACCUUUUUGCUGACAGGUACGCUGAUGAGAAGCAGACGGAGUUCCGAUACUCGGUCGGAGUGGAAGCGCCUAAGAUGAUUUCCAGGUUUCAACAGCUGCAAACCCUCGAGACCGUCCAUGCCAGCAAAGACGUAGCGCUACAGCUGAAGCACAUGCACGGGUUGCAGACUGUUUGUAUUGAUAGCAUCGAUGCAUCUAGUUGUGACGACCUUUUCCGUGCCCUCUCCUGUAUGCCCCAACUUUCAAGCUUACUCUUGUCAGCAAGUGAUGAGGAGGAGGCACUUUCUUUCAAAGCAUUCGAGCCAACUUCGACCAGUCUCCGCACGCUAAUCGUCAGAGGUGGCUGGUUCAUGGCGGGACUCAGUUGCCCAAUAUUUCAGGAGCUUGGGAGGUAUCUCAAGUACCUGGCUCUAAGCUGGUGCGAUCUUGAGGAAAAAGACCCUCUGCCGGUGCUGGCAUGUCACGUACCGGCGCUCACUUAUCUCAGCCUUAACAGGGUGAGCAGUGAAGGCAUAUUGGUUCUUUCUGCUGGGUGCUUUCCGCUGCUCAAGACGCUCGUCUUAAAGCGCAUGCCUGAUGUGAAGCAGUUGGUGAUUGAAGAGGGUGCCAUGCCGUUGGUUGAUGGGAUCUACAUCACGACACUCUUGGGGAUGAAUGCUGUCCCUGAUGGCAUUGAUACCCUUGGAUCCUUGACCAAGUUGUGGAUGCUGGAUCUGCACAGGGAGUUCAAGGCUGACUGGACUCAGAAGCAGAUGGAUGACAAGAUGAAGCAUGUUUCAGACCUCCGCGUUUAG